rnacentral:rRNA from 1 species
CAAUAGCGUAUAUUAAAGUUGUUGCAGUUAAAAAGCUCGUAGUUGGAUUUCGGGGUGGCCUGGCUGGUCCGCCGCAAGGUGAGUACUGGUCAGCCGCCCUUCCUCUCGAAAGCCCCGACUGCUCUUUACUGCAGUGGUCGGGUAGUUCGGGACGUUUACUUUGAAAAAAUUAGAGUGUUCAAGGCAGGCUAUCGCCUGAAUACAUUAGCAUGGAAUAAUGGAAGAGGACCUCGGUCCUAUUUUGUUGGUUUCUAGGGCCGAAGUAAUGAUUAAGAGGGACAGUUGGGGGCAUUCGUAUUUAAUUGUCAGAGGUGAAAAUCUUGGAUUUAUGAAAGACGAACUAGUGCGAAAGCAUUUGCCAAGGAUGUUUUCAUUAA